GUGUCAUAGAGAGAAGCUGGAGUAGAAAAAGCUGUUGAUAAAUCGUCUUCCUCUGAAAUCCUAAGCAGACAGAAUGCUCCUGAGUGAAAACCAUAAAGAAAGCCCUUUUUCCACUGCUAGGCUGACAAUCAAGCAUGCUGAGAGUCAAGCCUUUUGUGGGUGAUUCAUGGCUCCGGGGUCACACAGGUUGGAGCUUCUCAUCUGAAGGGGAUUAGGUGUUUCCAAGGAAGCACAGUUCUUCAGUGCCUUCUGAAGCAUAUCCUUGAAGUUUUUGGAGCCUGAGACCUGCUUAAGACCUCCCUCAUUACUCUGUCUCAUCACAUGAGAAGUCCAUCACAGCUUUGGCAGAAGGUUCUGAUUGGAGCCAGAAAGAAGCCAUGGUUACAAGAGGAUCCCAGAUGUGUUCAAGAGCUCCAUCCAGCUGACAGGGAGCUCAAGGAACAAGAGAUCCCCCCACAAAUGAGAAAAUAGAAGACCAGAAGUGCAAGCCUCUUCCUUUUUCCAGCAACACCUUUCAUGGCUCUUCAUGUAGAGACACUCCCAAGGAAGAAAACGGCAAUUCUUUCACUGACCUUUCUUAGAAGACAAUUGCAGAAUUGAAGGAAUUAAUGAAAUUCCAGACAAGAAACAAAGAGAAGAGAUCUGCUGCCACUAAUGCAGGGGUGGACCGAUGCCUUGACCAUCAUGAAUGAUGCUUGAAAGCAGCCACUGCUUUCUCCCACAUUUGUGUACCCUGCCAUGGAUGUCCUUCAUCAGUUGUGCUAAAUCUGCAAUUAAUAAAUAUCAGACAGAGGAAUAAAGAUGUUAUUAAUUGGGGGAAAAAAAAAUUAAAUUCCCUCAUCAAGAACAGCGGGGAGAGGAAGGCUGAGGGGAGAAAGAGGAGGAAGUGGGUAUGCUGAGAGCACAGGAAAAGGACAGGGAGAGGGGACAGGCAGUGUGAACAGGAGAAGGAAGAGGCAAGAAGAAGCAGUUGGAGAUGAGACACAGGCACAAAGGAAUGGAUACCAAGGAGGACAAAGAGCGGUGUGGGGUAGAUGGAGGGAACGGCAUAAAUGUGUUUGCAGAAGAAUACACACUAAUUCUUGGAAUAUGCCAGUCCCUUAAAUCACUGCCACAGGAGGGGAGCCAUCCAAGGCUGGGGAGCCCCACGGACUCUGGGUGACAGGCCCAUGGUCUUUCCUCAAUAAGAGACUGAGCAGAGACGGGAAAGCUUGAA